rnacentral:ncRNA from 1 species
UUAAAGUUUGAUUUUGGUUUUAAUAUUAAUGUUAUUAUUUUUUUGCAUGUAAAUUUUUAAUAUUAAAAAUUAUUUUUGCAGCAUUUAAUUUUAAUAAUUAAAGAAAUUUAGAAUUAUAAAUUAUAUAAUAUAACAUAGACAAAAGAAUUGUGCCAGCAGUAGCGGUUAAACGUUUUAUGUAAGUUAAUAUAUUCAAUUGAUAAAUUAUAUUUAAUUUUAUAUAAAUAAAGUAAAUUUUGUGGUGAAAUUAAAUUUUUUUAUUAUAUAUAUAUUAUAUAAAUAUAUUAUUUUAUGAAAUCUAAAUUUUAAACUAGGAUUAGAUACCCUAUUAUUUUAGAUGUUAAUUUAUAUUUUAAUAAUUAAUAGUUAUGAUCUUUAAAAUUAAAAAAAUUGGCGGUAUUUAAAACUAAUUAGGGGAAUUUGUUUAUUAAACGAUGAUCCGCGAGAUACCUUACUUUAAUUUAUUAAAUUUAUUUAUUUUCGUUAUCAGAAUAUUUUUUAAGAAUAAUAAUUUUCAUAAUAUUUUAUAAAAUUUUAUUUCAGAUCAAGAUGUAGUUUAUAUUAAAGUUUAAAUGAAUUACAAUAAAAUUAUUAUUUUUGGAUAUUAAAUUGAAAUAUUUAAUUGAAAUAGGACUUAAUAGUAAAAUUUUAAAUUAUAAAUAUUUGAAUUAAGAAUUAAAUAUGUACAAAUCGCCCGUCACUCUCAUUCAAAAAUGGGAUAAGUCGUAACAAAGUAAAUAUACUGGAAAGUGUAUUUAGAAUUC